GUGGGGAAUAUUGGACAAUGGGCGAAAGCCUGAUCCAGCCAUGCCGCGUGUGUGAAGAAGGUCUUCGGAUUGUAAAGCACUUUAAGUUGGGAGGAAGAGUAGUAACCUAAUACGUUGCUACUUUGACGUUACCGACAGAAUAAGCACCGGCUAACUUCGUGCCAGCAGCCGCGGUAAUACGAAGGGUGCAAGCGUUAAUCGGAAUUACUGGGCGUAAAGCGCGCGUAGGUGGUUCAGUAAGUUGGAAGUGAAAUCCCCGGGCUCAACCUGGGAACUGCCUCCAAAACUACUGGGCUAGAGUACGGUAGAGGGUAGUGGAAUUUCCUGUGUAGCGGUGAAAUGCGUAGAUAUAGGAAGGAACACCAGUGGCGAAGGCGACUACCUGGACUGAUACUGACACUGAGGUGCGAAAGCGUGGGGAGCAAACAGGAUUAGAAACCCCGGUAGUCC
rnacentral:rRNA from 1 species